CAUACAUUUUUCUAUUGGAUACA
rnacentral:miRNA from 1 species